CGGCCGCGGCCUUGGCCCUCCACCCGGGGAAUCUCGAGUUGCCAAACUCGCCGAGGCCGGCUGGCCUUGGGCUUCUGCUUAGGACGUGAGCGCAGGAUAGGGAUUUUAACAAUGCCGGGAAAGCGACAGCCGGACCCAGGAAAGCGCCUAAUAAUAGUCGCCAGCUCGAGCUCGGCUCAGCGCUUUUAAGGACAAUAUAAUAACGGCAACUGCAGCAACCAUAAUAGCCACCAUUUAUUGAGCGCUUUCUCGGUGCCAGGCACUUGCGUGUAGCGCUUUGCAGACAACAGUCUUCGGGGGUAAGUACUAUUAUUAUCCUCCCUGUUUUGCAGGACGCCUGGGGCACAGAAAGGUUAGGCGACCUGCCCCAGGUCACACAGCUAGCCGAUGGCCAGGCCAGAAUAACAGCCCAGGCUGCCCGGUCCUAGGAACUGAGGCCAGGAAGAUGACAACGCAGGAAGUCGGGAUUCUUUUCUCCAUCUUAAAUGAAGACGAGAAGACUCGAGCGCAUAGAGAUGAAGGCCCUUGCCCAAGGUCACCUGGCUAGAAAAUGGAAGUGGCAAAAGCGAACCCGGAGCUCCUCGCCGUCCGCAGAACCCGCGGUUCAGCACCCUGCCUCCCAAAACGUGUCGUCCCUGCAGAGAUUGGAGGGAGCUCCUGCAGCCUCGUUCCCAGGGUCUAUGGUCCCGACCCAUUCGUUCCCAGGACAACGCUGAGCAGUAGGCGUCACUCUUCCCAGCUGACACACGAGGUCACCGCACUGGGAAGCCGCCCAGCUGGGCCACCUGCGAGUGCUCCCCGCCACCCCGGGCUCGCCCAACAGAAGUAAGAGACAAAACUGUGAAAAUUACACAUGAAAAAAAAAGCCCCACUCCCCACCCCCCAAAAAAUCACUUUUAUUAAAGAGUGCUUAGUAAAAACACAUGUGAAUUGGGCGCUCCCUUAUCUCGUUCUAAGCGGCAACAUGAGACCCAACUAUCUAAAAAAUAAAUAUAUUUUUUAAAAAGAUAAACCCUAAAGCUCCAAUGAGAGGCAAGAAGGAAUGAGGCCUUUAAGCUUCGGCUUGGAAGAGAGCAUCCGAGAGGUCCACUCACUUUCGAUGUCUGGACUCCAAGGAAGGAAAGCCGGUUCUAGGAAAAUCUGAAAAACCCCAUAGAAAAAUAAAGAAUUCCCUUCUGUGGUUUUUACUUUCAGCCAGCCUUGCUUGGCUAUUUGUGUUUUAUUUGAAAAUGAGUGGCUCUCUCCACCCUUUCAGUUGGCACAUAAGUGGCCCCCAAAAAAAGAGGGGGGGAAAACCCGAAAGAAGGCCAUCUACAAACUUAAAAUGUGGUAGUAUUCUCAGGAAGGAGGGACUGACUUGAAAUGGAAAUGAGGAUUAAAUGAGGUGCCUUAAACAUUUCAAAGGCAGACUUUCCACAAGGAAUUUCCAUCAGAAGUCCCUUAGAACAGGAGCUUUGUCUGCGUCUGGACUCCAUAGAGUGUCUCCAGUCUGUGAGCAGCCACUCCAGGUGGGGAAAGAAUCAUGCUUUUCCUGUGUGUCUGCGUUGUCUAACCAUCUGGGCCACCACUUGGCUUAUGGCUUGAAAGUAUAGCUUCUGGGGGAUUUUCCAGCCAUACGCUCUCCCUCAGACGCCUUGCUUUUCCAGAAGUUUGCUCUGGGAAUUCAGUCAAGGUGAGGCAAUAGUUGAUGAUGUCACACCAAAACAAAACUCCACUGCCAUACAGUCACCUCUGACUCAUCGGAGCCCUAUGGGGCAGAUCAGAGCUGUCCCAUCAGGGUUAUAUCUAUGGGAACAGACUGCCUCAUCCUUCUCCCACGGAGCAGCGGCUGAGGGGGUGAAUGCCCAAGUGCUUAACCACUGUGUCCCUUGCUCUCACCAGGCUGGGUGAAAGAGAUUAACUGCCAAGGCUAAGGGGAGCUGCUGACACUUCUCAGGCCUGACCCAACUGCCCUAUGCCUUUCAACUGGUAGAAUUCCCCUAUCACCCAUCACAAAGGAGCACCACCUCCCGCACAACCCAUGGCCUCCUGUGCAUUCAUUUGACAAACACCCAGAGAGAACUCACACAGGGCCACACACCUCAUCCCAGGACCUCACCUUGCAAAUACUUCCUUGGCCGGCCCUCCAGGAGAAGGUCUGAGGCCUGAUACUAAGGCUUGGCUGCCCACCGAAAGGUCAGCGGUUUGAACCCACG